AUGAUGCACACUUUUGUAGACAUUGCAUCUCACUUGACAGAACACAAAAAAGAUAAAUUAUCAACUGCUAUGGUUUCUCACAUGAAACUUAAAUAUUUCAAAUAUUGGACAAAAAUACCUAUUUUGUAUGCAUUUGAAUUUAUCUUGGAUCUUAGGGUUAAUUUGAACUGUUUGCUUGUGCACUUAAGGCCAACAAAUUGCGGACAACAAAGAACCUCCGGACAAGGGGCAUGCACAAGGUCACGAGCGCACUGUUGCGCACGGUCACGACAUCACUGGUGGACGUGCCUUUUUUUGGAGGCAACGAGCAAACGUGCCUAA
rnacentral:rRNA from 1 species